rnacentral:tRNA from 1 species
GGCACUGAUCCAAUAAAUUGGGCUGAGUUGAUGUCUUAGAUUAAGGGAGAUAGUCUCCUCAGUGCUU